GAAAAGGGGGCGCGCGGCGGGGUUUUUUAAUUUUGUAUGGGAAAACCCCCCGGCCCCACCCGGGGGGGGGCCUUGGAAAACGGGGGACUUGAGGCCAAAAGAGGGGGAGGGAAAUCCCCCGGGUAGCGGGGAAAAAGCGUAGAGAUGGGGGGGACACACCAGUGGGGAAGGGGGGCCCCUCUGGGUCUAUAAAAAACCCCAAGGAGCGAAAAAGCGGGGGGAGAAACAGAGAUAAGAUACCCCUGUGGGUCCCCCCCCCUAAAACGAGAAGAGCGUAUAAGCUAGGGGGGGUUCCCCCCCCUAUUGCGCCGGAGAUAGCCGCAAAAAGCCCCCCCCCGGGGGGAGGGGGGCCAAAAGGGAGAACCAAAAAAGAAUUGGGGGGGCCCCGCACAAGCGGUGGAGCAUGUGGUAUAAUUAGAAGCAACGCGAAGACCCUCACCAGGUGUUGACAUCCUGGGACAAUCCUAGAGAUAGGACGUCCCCUUCGGGGGCAGAGAGACAGGUGGUGCAUGGUUGUCGUCAGCUCGUGUCGAGAGAUGUGGGGUUAAGUCCCGCAACGAGCGCAACCCUUGAUUUUAGUUGCCAGCAUUCAGUUGGGCACUCUAAGGAGACUGCCGGUGACAAACCGGAGGAAGGUGGGGAAGACGUCAAAUCAUCAU
rnacentral:rRNA from 1 species